rnacentral:rRNA from 1 species
UUCAAGCGUUAUUAAGGGCAUCUUGUGAAUGCCUUGGCUCUAAGAGGCGAUGAAGGACGUGAUACGCUGCGAUAAGCUGCGGGGAGCUGCGAAUAAGCUUUGAUCCGCGGAUUUCCGAAUUGGGAAACCAACCACGCAAGUGGUAUCUUCCAGUGAAUACAUAGCUGGAUGAAGCAAACUCAGGGAAUUGAAACAUCUCAGUACCUGAAGGAAAGGACAUCAACCGAGACUCCGUUAGUAGUGGCGAGCGAACGCGGACCAGGCCAGUGGUCGUAUGGUAAGAAUUGGAACUGUGCUGGAAAAGCAGGCCAAAGAGGGUGAUAGCCCCGUACAAGUAGAAAGCCAUAUGAUCCUCGAGUAAGGCGGGACACGUGAAAUCCUGUCUGAACAUGGGAGGACCAUCUUCCAAGCCUAAGUACUCCUUAGAGACCGAUAGUGAACAAGUACCGUGAGGGAAAGGUGAAAAGAACCCCGAUGAGGGGAGUGAAAUAGACCUGAAACGAGAUGCCUACAAGCAGUCAGAGCCCCGCAAGGGGUGAUGGCGUACCUUUUGUAUAAUGGGUCUGCGAGUUAGUCUUGCUAGCAAGCUUAAGCCGAUAGGCGUAGGCGAAGGGAAACCGAGUCUGAAUAGGGCGACAAGUUAGUAGGAUUAGACCCGAAACCCGGUGAUCUAACCAUGGCCAGGAUGAAAGUAGGGUAACUCCUACUGGAGGUCCGAACUCGUGACUGUUGAAAAAGUCUGGGAUGAGCUGUGGUUAGGGGUGAAAGGCCAAUCAAACCGGGUAAUAGCUGGUUCUCCGCGAAAUCUAUUUAGGUAGAGCCCUAUGUAAUUUACCCUCGGGGGUAAAGCACUGGAUAGACUAGGGGGGCGCGAGCCCUACCAAAUCUAACCAAACUCUGAAUACCGAGGAGUACUAUCAUAGGAGGCAGUCAUCGGGUGAUAAGGUCCGGUGACGAGAGGGAAAAAGCCCAGACCGACAGCUAAGGUCCCCAAGUCAUAGCUAAGUGAUCCACAAGGAUGUGGAAAUUCCAAAACAACCAGGAGGUUGGCUUAGAAGCAGCCAUCCUUUAAAGAAAGCGUAACAGCUCACUGGUCUAAUUAAGAGUUUCCGCGCCAAAGAUGUAUCGGGGCUCAAGCUAUGCACCGAAGCUUCGGGUGUCAUGUCGCAAGACAUGACGCGGUAGCGGAGCGUUCCGUAAGCCUGCGAAGUUAUCCCGUCAGGGGUGAUGGAGGUAUCGGAAGUGAGAAUGCAGACAUGAGUAGCGAUUAACAGAGUGAGAGACUCUGUCGCCGAAAGACCAAGGGUUCCUGCGCAAGGUUAAUCCACGCAGGGUGAGCCGGUACCCUAAGGUGAGGCCGAAAGGCGUAGCCGAUGGAAAACAGGUUAAUAUUCCUGUGCCUGCUGAAAGUGACGGACACCGAAAUCAGUUUUCUCUUAUUGGAUUGAGAGGGCUGGCCAGGGGUUCCAGGAAAUAGCUUCAGCAUUAUAGUCCGUACCCGAAACCGACACUGGUGGUCAGGUAGAGUAUACCAAGGCGCUUGAGAGAAGAAUGUUGAAGGAACUCGGCAAAUUACAUCCGUAACUUCGGGAUAAGGAUGCCUCAUUAACACGCAAGUGAAUAUGAGGGACACAAAAAUGGUGGUGGCGACUGUUUACCAAAAACACAGGGCUCUGCUAAGUCGUAGAAGACGACGUAUAGGGUCUGACGCCUGCCCGGUGCCGGAAGGUUAAAAGGAGGAGUGCAAGCUCUGAAUUGAAGCCCCGGUAAACGGCGGCCGUAACUAUAACGGUCCUAAGGUAGCGAAACUCCUUGUCGGGUAAGUUCCGACCUGCAUGAAUGGCGUAACGACUUCCACACUGUCUCCAACAUUUCCUCAGCGAAGUUGAAUUCCUCGUGAAGAUGCGGGGUACCCGCGGCUAGACGGAAAGACCCUAUGAACCUUUACUAUAACUUUGCAGUGGCAUUAGAGAUGCCAUGUGUAGCAUAGCUGGGAGACUUUGAAACCGGGGCGCUAGCUCUGGUGGAGUCACAAUGUGAAAUACCAGCCUUGUUAUUUCUGAUGUCUAACCGGUCCUGUUAUCCAGGAUCGGGACCCUGCAUGGCGGGUAGUUUGACUGGGGCGGUCGCCUCCCAAAUUGUAACGGAGGUGCGCAAUGGUUGGCUCAAUCUGGUCGGAAAUCAGAUUAAGAGUGUAUUGGCAUAAGCCAGCCUGACUGCAAGACUGACAAGUCGAGCAGAUACGAAAGUAGGUCAAAGUGAUCCGGUGGUUCUGAAUGGAAGGGCCAUCGCUCAACGAAUAAAAGGUACUCUAGGGAUAACAGGCUGAUACUGCCCAAGCGUCCACAGCGACGGCAGUGUUUGGCACCUCGAUGUCGGCUCAUCUCAUCCUGGGGCUGGAGCAGGUCCCAAGGGUAUGGCUGUUCGCCAUUUAAAGAGGUACGUGAGCUGGGUUCAGAACGUCGUGAGACAGUUCGGUCCCUAUCUACCGUGGGUGUUGGAAUAUUGAGAGGCGCCGUCCCUAGUACGAGAGGACCGGGAUGGACGUACCUCUGGUAGACCUGUUGUCACGCCAGUGGCAUAGCAGGAUAGCUACGUACGGACAGGAUAAACGCUGAAAGCAUCUAAGCGUGAAACCUCCCUCAAAACAAGUAUUCCCCAUAGAGUCGUCGUAGACUACGACGUUGAUAGGCCAGAUGUGUAAGAGCAGCAAUGUUCUAAGCUAACUGGUACUAAUAGCUCGAUCGGCUUGAAUCUAUAUCAC